AGAAAUAUAUGACUAUUAUUGUCAAGAGGGCGCUGUUUAUUCUGAUGUAUGGGGUGACAUUGCAGUUUAGUAUGAAGAAUAGUUCUCAUAUUAUAUUUCUCUCUUUAUUAGGCUCUCAGGCUUUAUCAAUCUAUGACUUUCGAGCCAAUUCGUCACUACUUUUAAAAAAUUUCGUAUCUCACGCUGUUCCUCAAAGUUAAAACGCAGUAAGUCUAUAUGCAUUCCAUACAUACUUACUACAAUUUUCUUUUCAUUGAUAGACGAAGAUAUGAGUUUUUUUUUAAAGUAGUGACGAAUUAUUUAUGUCUCCUGAUUUUUAGGACACGUGUCUUCUGAUUUUAUUCAAAUUGGACCUGGCAACACUGAAAUAAUGUCAGAAUCUUUUCUUUGACAUUAUUUACAAUUUAUAUUAUUGUACAUAAUUGGUUUUUUCACUAUUCUUAAGCUAAAAAAAACACCUGUUUGUCCUCCAAAGAAUACCUUAUUGGAUUCACAGAAUGAUUGAGGAUUUGAGGGAAGCAUGUUAAGACUGUGACAAUAUGGUCUUAAGGCAGCCGGCCUCAUUGAGAA